GUGGGGAAUAUUGGGCAAUGGGGGAAACCCUGACCCAGCAACGCCGCGUGAAGGAAGAAGGUUUUCGGAUCGUAAACUUCUAUCCUUGGUGAAGAUAAUGACGGUAGCCAAGAAGGAAGCCCCGGCUAACUACGUGCCAGCAGCCGCGGUAAUACGUAGGGGGCAAGCGUUGUCCGGCAUGAUUGGGCGUAAAGGGCGCGUAGGCGGCCUGGUAAGUCUGGAGUGAAAGUCCUGCUUUUAAGGUGGGAAUUGCUUUGGAUACUGUCGGGCUUGAGUGCAGGAGAGGUAAGCGGAAUUCCCGGUGUAGCGGUGAAAUGCGUAGAGAUCGGGAGGAACACCAGUGGCGAAGGCGGAUUGCUGGACAGUAACUGACGCUGAGGCGCGAAAGCGUGGGGAGCAAACAGGAUUAGAAACCCCUGUAGUCC
rnacentral:rRNA from 1 species